rnacentral:lncRNA from 1 species
AUUGUUUCUCAAAAAAUACCUAGAAAAUGCUGCAACAAUAAGUUCUGUCUAUUACUAUAUCUGAAGCUCAAAUGAGGAUUGCUACAAAUGAGAACUCAGUCAAUGGAAAGCCAACUCAUAUACCCUAAAGGCACUUUUUUUAUAAGAGGACAAAGAACAAACAACAUUAAUUCAAAUUAUUACACAACCCUUGUGCUGAUAUUAAGCUUAACACACAAACUAUAUAUGUUGGAUUCUUAAAAGAACAGCACA